rnacentral:lncRNA from 1 species
GCACAGGAAAGUGCAAUGACAGCUCUACUACUCCAGAUCCUGCCAGGCCCAGUCACUGGGAGUAAAGCCAAGGAGCCAGGAGUACACGCGCCUACCCCCUUCCUAUGUGAAACUGUCUCCAGACAGCGGAAAACACCCUGGAUUUGAAGGUGUGGUCUUGUCCUGGAGCAUUACAGCAUCCGGGGAUCACUCAGGUCUCAGUUGUGACCCAAAUGCAAUUAUGUCUGAAAUGUCAUAGCUGGCCUGUAGGCUGGAGAACUAGACCUACUCAAAUGAUUUUUCCCUAGAAUUAUGUAGCAUUGCUCCAACACAUGGCAAAAAACCCAACAACAACAAAAAUGUUGGGCAUGGUGGUACAUUCCUGAAUCCCAGCACUAGGGAGGCUGAGACUGGAGGAUCUUCAUGUUCAAGGCCAGCCUGAACUACACAGUGAAACCCUGUCUCAAACAAACAAACAACAACUGUGGGACUGCAUAACCUUUGUUCCAUUUCUCCAGCCCCAUUGUGAUUAAAUGUGAGUUAAUGGAUAAAGAUGCUUGUUAGUUUUGGGACACUAGAUAAAAAUCUGUUAACAGACCUAAAGUCCCAAAGUAAACUACUCAACUCCUUGUUUGCCCGGAACUGAUGUUCUGGACACCACAAUCUAUAGAACAAGCUGCAAAUGUCUGCUGACCAUCAAUACGUGACAGUCGACCACUAACCUCUGUCCCCUUUUCUUUAAUUCUAUAUGUUAACUUCCCCCCUCAACCUCCUAUAAAAACAGCCUCAGACUCUGAGUCAGU